UCCGACACCCGGUCCGGGCUCGGACACCCCCGCUCCGGGGCAGCUGCCGGCGUUCCUCUGGCUGCGACCGAGGAGGCACUGGUGUGCUGACUGCAUCUGAGACUCUCUGUGGCAAAGUGUGCUGGGGCACAGAUUUCGGCAGUUAAUUGGCAACCCGGAGCCUCACUGUGAAUCCCCAGGGGCCUGCGGACCUCAGGCGGGACCCCUGUUCUAAGGGAAUUAUGGAUGGUCUCCAUUAAGGCACUCCGGGAAGCUCACGGCUGCCUUCCGCGUGGCGUGCUUCUCAGCUCCCUCUUGGCUUCCCUUCAAACCCGGGUCUGCUAUCAAGGUGUUCUCAGAGUUUCUCCUUAAUGUCCAUGUGGUUGACCUCACGACAGCAGAGAGCAGGUGAGAGUCACCUCUGUGCUCAGCAAGCAUUCAUGAGUUCCAGGCCUUCGGGACAAACGCAGCUCAGCCCCACUCCUACUCUGGCCACAGGGGCACCGUCAACUGCUCAUUCUAACGAAGGGCGAAGGGGAAUGCAUGCAGUGGCUUUGAGAACAGCUGGGAAAUACCACUCAACCACCCUGGGAAGUCCAGAAAGGGGAGUGGGCGGCCUUGGUUGAGCCCCUGAACUUCUCCAGAUGUUUGUCUUCUCUUCAAUGGCAUGACAAAUCUGGACUGCACAAGCUAUUGAGUUUCCAUCUCAUUGGAAUCACCUCCAACCUCUGAUCCACGACCUCCCAAAGAGCAGCUGAUGGUGUUAUUAGACCUAAGCCUGGGCAGCUUCUAGGUGUAUUUGACUUUCCAGAGAAGUUCACAAAGGUCAAGGCCUGGUAGGAUGUGGUAAGCAGAACAGGCAAAGAAAAACCUACUGGUAAACAACAAAUACCACCCCUGGCUUAGUCAUGGAAUUCUGAGAAGCAGCAGCACCCAGGGAACCAGUCUGUACACUGGCAAUCAUGGCUGAGACUAACUUUAACCAAAGGCAUGUGGCAGAGCCACAAAAGGCAGGCUCUGCAAAUAGUAGCCAGCUCUUGAAAUCACAGGACGGCUGCCAUACCCAUUCUGUGUGAAAGGCCCGUGGACCACACCCACUGGCCUUUUGUGCUAUUCUAGCAAAUUAGAACUGGAAUGAUAAUGAGCCCAGGCCACCAUAACAGAAAGCAAUGACACCAGUUUGCCUCAUAUGAUGGUUUAAUCUCUCUUGACCAAUAUAACAUAGCAUAUAGCUGAUUUUAUUCUAUAACAACCUUUUGGUGAUGAUGGGAAAAUAAACCUUCCCAAGAAAAAAACUUUUCACGUAAGUAAAAUUAAACCAAGGCACAUUAAGUAGGUUACUGUAUACUUGUAAACAAACUCUCAUUAAGAAAACAGUGUAGGGUUUAGUGUGCACAGAGGUAACAUUUUAAGGGGAAAAGUAGCAGAGAGAGUAAGUUGCUUUUAAAACAGGUCAUUCAAACCAUGUGAGUGCUAUUCCAACAAAUAGGACUGUAAUAUUCUCAAAGAUUGCUUGCAAUACUGGAACAUAGGCCAUGGAUAAAGAAUGGAAGAGGAAGGUUGGGUUCAUUCUGUGCUGUUUUAAAAUACUCCCAGUCAAAAAUUGAUACAUUUCAGCAUAUGGCAAUAAUUCUAAAACACUGAAGCCUUGUUU